rnacentral:rRNA from 1 species
UACGAAGGGGGCUAGCGUUGUUCGGAAUUACUGGGCGUAAAGCGCGUGUAGGCGGGUCUUUAAGUCAGGGGUGAAAUGCCAGGGCCCAACCUUGGAACUGCCUUUGAUACUGGAGACCUUGAGUCCGGGAGAGGUGAGUGGAAUUGCGAGUGUAGAGGUGAAAUUCGUAGAUAUUCGCAAGAACACCAGUGGCGAAGGCGGCUCACUGGCCCGGAACUGACGCUGAGACGCGAAAGCGUGGGGAGCAAACAGG